GGUCCCGCCUGCCCUGUGACCACAAAGUUUAACGGCCGCGGUAUCCUGACCGUGCGAAGGUAGCGUAAUCAUUUGUCUUUUAAAUAGAGACCUGUAUGAAUGGCAUAACGAGGGUUUAACUGUCUCCUUCCCCUAGUCAAUGAAAUUGAUCUGCCCGUGCAGAAGCGGACAUAAACACAUAAGACGAGAAGACCCUAUGGAGCUUUAGACAAAAGAUCAAACAUGUAAAGAAACCAAACCAACCAAAAGGAACACGAAGGCCACAAAACCCAACGUAAACUGAUCUAAAUGUCUUCGGUUGGGGCGACCAUGGGGGAAAGAAAAGCCCCCACGAGGAACAGGGACAACCCCUAAACUAAGAGAGACACCUCUAAGCAACAGAAAAUCUGACCAAAAUGACCCAGGAUACUAAUCCUGAUCAACGAACCAAG
rnacentral:rRNA from 1 species